AAAAUCUGCUUCACGGCAGAGCUCACAUUAACCCCAUUCCUCCCCGGGAACGGUCUGUUUGUCCGCCUACCCACAUUAUCUCCCUCAGGAAAAGCUGUGGAAAUACACCCGGAUCGCAAGGCCCCUGGCUCGCGUGAGCCUACCCCAGGAGAAGCAGCCCAGUUACCCGACAUGGUGGUCAGCAGACGCUGGGGCGCUGGCUGGAUGCUGAAGCUGCAGGGACUCGGCGCCUCCCAGGGCUCCUGUGCAGGGAGAGAAGCAGAGAUGCAGCAUUUUUAAAGUUUCACAAAGCAUCCAGCUGCACCCAGGUUCCUGGAGCAGGAGACAAACAGAAUUAAUGUUUUAUACCUUCGGGUAUAGGUUUGAGUUUUUUCCCCCUCAUGCCAAGUAUUUAAAACCUCUAGAAACCCAUGAUUUGACAAUCAAUGAUUGCGCGAUACUUUCAAUUUGAAUAUUCAAAGGCUUCACAAAAUGGACUAUCUUCUGCAGAAAUCCUGCACACAGCCUCCCCACAGACAGUCCAAAGAAACAGGGAGUGAGACCCCUUUGGGUCCUGGGCCUUGCUUUUAGUGUAUUUUAAACAUUUUGCCCACCUUUCCACAGACAGAGCAGGAGUCCUCAAAGAUGCUCUGUAUUUCUGCCUCAAAGGCAGCUCCGGGAGCCCCG
rnacentral:lncRNA from 1 species